rnacentral:rRNA from 1 species
AUAACAACUCUCGGCAACGGAUAUCUCGGCUCUUGCAUCGAUGAAGAACGUAGCGAAAUGCGAUACUUGGUGUGAAUUGCAGAAUCCCGUGAACCAUCGAGUCUUUGAACGCAAGUUGCGCCCGAAGCCAUCAGGCAUAGGGCACGUCUGC